CGCGCAAGUCCUUCUUCGCCCUCCUCCCCCGGAAACGGAGCGCGCACUCGGAGUUCCGCAGGACAGUUCUGUUCCGGACCCAGCACUCAGACUGCGCACGGCCACCAGGGGGCGUUAGGCCUCGCUGGGGAUUCCGGGGCUGAGACCCCGAGAUUCGGAGCCGGGCGCGUUACCUGUGCUCGAUACCUGGGUGCUGUCACCGACCGAGAGGUGCAGGGCCCCCAGAGCGUUCGGCCUGCCUGCCACCCACCACGUAGGCUCUGCAGGGAAACAGAGUCCCACAGGCGUCGUUGCCCUCCGCCUUCCGGCCUCUGCAUAAAAACAACUGUAUCAUGGUUUACCAGAGAAACAAACCAAAAGAUCAUAUGGAUUUCGAUGAUAUAGAUGUAAUAAAUCUAUAAUAGAUUUAUUAUAAGGAAAUGGCUCAUGCAAUUAUGGAGUCUGAGAAGUCCUACAAUCUGCAGUUGACAAGCUGGAGACCCAGCAAAGGAGAUGAUAUAGUUCCAGUCUACAUAUGAAGACUGACAACCAGGGGACUGAAGGUGUAAGUUCCAGUCUGAAGGCAGAAAACCAAUGUCUGUGCUCAAGCAGUCAGGCAGACAGAGUGACUUGUCCUUUCCUCUAAUUUUGUUCUAGUCAUGACCUCAAUGGAUGAGAUGGUGCUCACCCACACUGGGGAAAGCAAUCUGUUUUACUCAGUCAACUGAUUCAAAUAUUCAUCUCUUCCAGAAACAGCCUCACAGACACACCCAGAAAUAGUGUUUAAUCAGAUAUCUGGGCACCCAUGACCCAGUCAAAUUGACACAUAAAAUAAACUAUCACAGGUCUACCCCUUGUCAACUUGGCAUCCAUACACUUCUCCUUAACCCAUACUUAAUCUUCAAAUAAAAACAUUAACAAGGUUGUAGUUCCACCUAACAUGAUUCAACCAUUCUGUGUACAACUGAAAAUACACUAACUCCUUCCACAGAAGAGAUGACAUCCUUGAGUGGUGCUUAUUCUUCUUGAU
rnacentral:lncRNA from 1 species